GUGACAAAAAUAGUUUGUUAGAAUAAUGUAGCAUUAAGUUUCAACAAAGUGGACAUCCCAUUAGAAUGCUGCUCUUCUGCUUUCUGCUUGUUAUGUGCAAGGCAAUAGAGACAGAGACCAGGCACGACAAUGAAGAGAAAGAGUCUGUUCCUCUGGAAGACCAGGAAGAGACAUUUGCUCCGGCAGAAAGAGGAGUCGAUGGAGCUACAGAGCUGUUGGAAAAAUCUCCUGAGGCUUUCUCAGGCAAAGUGGAGUUAGACAGUUCUCACCCUGAAUUGGGUGACAUGGAGCAGCCGAUGACAGAGAGAGGAAGCCCUUCUCCACUGCAGGCACCUGCGUUGCCAGGGGAGUGGAACAGCAGCACACAGUCAGAGUCUGCCUUUGAGCAAUUCGGACAGCUUACUAGUGAGCAUGGUGACCAAAAAUGGGAAAAGGAACACCAGCAGCAUGGAGCUGAGGAACACGAAAUAAGCAGAAGAAGUGAGGAAACCACAGAAAAAACAGAACUGGUAGUCUUGGACCCAGAACAUGUGAGAAGCCUUCAAAUCUUGUCGUUCUUCUUUGCAGUCUUGCUAUUUUUAUUCCUAUAAAAUAUGUGAGGUGAAUUGUAAACAGUGGCUUAG
rnacentral:lncRNA from 1 species